rnacentral:rRNA from 1 species
AGAGUUUUGAUCAUGGCUCAGAACGAAACGCUGGCGGCGUGCCUAACACAUGCAAGUCGAGCGAGAAAGCCCGCAAGGGUGAGUAAAGCGGCGCACGGGUGCGUAACACGUGGGUAAUCUGCCCUGGAGUCCGGAAUAACUCGCCGAAAGGCGUGCUAAUGCCGGAUAAGACCACGGGAGCCUCGGCUCCUGCGGAAAAAGAUGGCCUCUGUACACAAGCUAUCUCUUCAGGAUGAGCCCGCGGCCCAUCAGCUAGUUGGCGGGGUAAUGGCCCACCAAGGCAACGACGGGUAGCUGGUCUGAGAGGACGAUCAGCCACACUGGAACUGAGACACGGUCCAGACUCCUACGGGAGGCAGCAGUGGGGAAUCUUGCGCAAUGGGCGAAAGCCUGACGCAGCAACGCCGCGUGUGUGAUGAAGGUCUUCGGAUCGUAAAGCACUGUCGCGAGGGACGAAUAAGGGCUGGGUGAACAAUCCAGUCCGAUGACGGUACCUCGAGAGGAAGCACCGGCUAACUCUGUGCCAGCAGCCGCGGUAAUACAGAGGGUGCGAGCGUUGUUCGGAAUUAUUGGGCGUAAAGCGCGUGUAGGCGGCUUUGUAAGUCAGGUGUGAAAGCCCUCGGCUUAACCGAGGAAGUGCGCCUGAAACUGCAGAGCUUGAGUACCGGAGAGGGUGGUGGAAUUCCCGGUGUAGAGGUGAAAUUCGUAGAUAUCGGGAGGAACACCAGCGGCGAAGGCGACCACCUGGACGGCUACUGACGCUGAGACGCGAAAGCGUGGGGAGCAAACAGGAUUAGAUACCCUGGUAGUCCACGCUGUAAACGAUGAGCGCUAGGUGUUGUGGGUGUUGACCCCCGCAGUGCCGCAGCUAACGCAUUAAGCGCUCCGCCUGGGAAGUACGGCCGCAAGGCUAAAACUCAAAGGAAUUGACGG